rnacentral:rRNA from 1 species
UAGGGAAUCUUCCACAAUGGGCGCAAGCCUGAUGGAGCAACACCGCGUGAGUGAAGAAGGGUUUCGGCUCGUAAAGCUCUGUUGUUAAAGAAGAACACGUAUGAGAGUAACUGUUCGUACGUUGACGGUAUUUAACCAGAAAGUCACGGCUAACUACGUGCCAC